rnacentral:rRNA from 1 species
GACGAACGCUGGCGGCGUGCUUAACACAUGCAAGUCGAACGCUGAAGCUUGGUGCUUGCACUGGGUGGAUGAGUGGCGAACGGGUGAGUAAUACGUGAGUAACCUGCCCUUGACUCUGGGAUAAGCCUGGGAAACUGGGUCUAAUACUGGAUACGACAUUUCACCGCAUGGUUCCGUGUUGAAAGGGGUUUCUUGGUUUUAGUUGGGCUCACGGCCUAUCAGCUUGUUGGUUGGGUAAUGGCUCACCAAGGCGACGACGGGUAGCCGGCCUGAGAGGGUGACCGGCCACACUGGGACUGAGACACGGCCCAGACUGCUACGGGAGGCAGCAGUGGGGAAUAUGACACAAUGGGCGAAAGCCUGAUGCAGCGACGCCGCGUGAGGGAUGACGGCCUUCGAGUUGUAAACCUCUUUCAGCACAGAAGAAGCGAAAGUGACGGUACGUGCAGAAGAAGCGCCGGCUAACUACGUG